UCUUAAGGUCUGCCAAACAUCAUCUUUCACUGUGGCCAGCCCUCAGGGCCACAGGAACACUCUAAUUUGUCAGGAUCUCUCUGACUUGUUCCUCGCGCCCCAGAUGUGCUGCACACCUCAGAUACUCAUUCUGCUCCUCAUGCACUCACCUUUGCCAAGAGUGCUUGCACCUCUGCUACCUGCUACCUGCUCACCACAGAAUUAAAUCAGAGCAAACCAGUUCAGACCAGUUCUGACCGGUUCAAACUGAUUCCAACCAGCUACAACUGGCUCAAAGCGGUUCCAGCCAGCAGAUCUGCUCGAGCUGGUGCCUCUGGAGGGAGACCCAGGACAAAGAAAUCCCUGGGAAAUCAUAUCCUUACAACUUCUACACCUGCCCUUCACACUCUCUUCAUGUCUCUUGGCACAGCGGUUUCCAUGGAAAUCCUGGACUUGUAAUUGAUUUCUUUGAAGUUCAGUAGCUCUAUGAAAGCUGUGACUGAAAUCACCCUAUACCCUUGGCCAAGAUUCCCUAAAAACAAGAUUGUCACCAAUUUUUUACCUGUUUGUUUGACUGCUCUGGGCAUACCAACAUGGUGCACAUGCUGAAUGACAUACAGCAGUGCAGGAUAUGUGCAGAAGAGCUAAUGAUGGCAGGGUCACCAGCAGGAGCUGCAAUGUGUCUUGGGUUUGACUUUCCAAAAUUUCCAGGAUGACUGAAGUUCAAAAAUGUCACCUCCUGAAGCAGGAAAAAGAGAAACUGGACUCCCAAGCAAAACUUGUGUCUUUCAGCUACUGAUACCUGACUUGGAGAGAAACUAAUUAGAGAGUUCCAAAGCACCAGGAGCAUCAUCUUUCCCAGUCCCAUGGCAGAAUUUUAAUACUCGUGCCAGUGGCAAAAACCUGAUUUCCUGCAGACAGAUGGAGCUGGGAGUUGCUGAAACCCUUUAAGGCCUCCAAAGAAAGUGCAAUACAGCCUCUCUCUAGUCUCUUUUUCUCUUUGCUUUCUGUUGUUUACUUUGCUAAUUUGCCUGAAGCUGUUUGUUCUGGUUGGUUUGUAUUUGCUUUAGAGGAUGUUGCUUAACAGAGAUUGUAUCUUGUGUUUGCUUUUAAAAUUCAAACACCAUAGUUAAAAGCUGUCUGCAGUUUACAAUCUGAGAAAGACAAUCCACCCUGAAGAAAAAAAUCCACUUUGAUUAUGCUUGACAUGAAAUGCAACAACUCACAGAGUUUAACGUUGAAAGGUGAGCUCUAAUUAUGCUGAAUAUUUGUCUGAGGUCUCUCUAAGCAGUAUUAAUAUAGAUAUGGCAAAGGGAACAUGGUAUUUCCACUGUUUCAGGAGAUGAGGGGGCAAAUCUUGCUCAUCAUCCACGGAUGGAGCUGCUCCUUCCUCCUGCUGUUCCAGAGCUUUUAGGAGCA